AAACAACACGAGGGGUGUCCCGUAAUGGGGCUGAGAUGGCGCAACGCCUAUCCCUUUGAACCUGUAAGGUAAUGCUUGCGUAGGAACGUGUUCAUCGAUGACC
rnacentral:ncRNA from 2 species